rnacentral:sRNA from 1 species
UACUAGAAAUUGUUCGAUUCGAACCCAGC